rnacentral:rRNA from 1 species
AAUCGUGACUCGGGUUACCGCGGCUGCUGGCACGGAGUUAGCCGGUGCUUCUUCUGUGAGUGAUGUCCUUCCUGCCGGUUAUUGACCCGCAGGCCUUCUUCCUCACUGAAAGUGCUUUACAACCCGAAGGCCUUCUUCACACACGCGGCAUGGCUGGAUCAGGGUUGCCCCCAUUGUCCAAUAUUCCCCACUGCUGCCUCCCGUAGGAGUCUGGGCCGUGUCUCAGUCCCAGUGUGGCUGAUCAUCCUCUCAGACCAGCUACGGAUCGUCGCCUUGGUGAGCCGUUACCUCACCAACCAGCUAAUCCGACAUAGGCUCAUCCGAUAGCGCGAGGCCCGAAGGUCCCCCGCUUUCCCCCGUAGGGCGUAUGCGGUAUU